AAACCAGCACCUCAAGUGGUCAGGAUGAUUAUUGGGCCUAAAGCAUCCGUAGCCGGCUCUGUAAGUUUUCGGUUAAAUCUGUACGCUUAACGUACAGGCUGCCGGAAAUACUGCAGAGCUAGGGAGUGGGAGAGGUAGACGGUACUCUGGAGGAAGUGGUAAAAUGCUUUGAUCUCUAGAUGACCACCUGUGGCGAAGGCGGUCUACCAGAACACGUCCGACGGUGAGGGAUGAAAGCUGGGGGAGCAAACCGGAUUAGAAACCCGGGUAGUCC
rnacentral:rRNA from 1 species